rnacentral:misc_RNA from 1 species
GAACUUCUCAGUUAGUUGGUUGUUGGUACAGUUACAAAAAGAGACAGACGAAAGUACAGUAGCUUUCAAGGUCCAACGCACAAGUCGCUUCUAUCAGUUAAAGCUAUCUAACCAUCUUAUUCUCUUACCAAGUCUCCUCUCAUCCAUCAACAAACAAACUCCACGAAACUUCAAUCUGACAACCUUGCACGUCCUUCCCCUUCCCCUUACUUGCUUCCAACUUUCUUCUUCUCUCUCACCCCACACCCCUUUUGUAUUUCUUACCAUUUCCUUCUUUCUUUGGACGUCUCUGCUUCUGGCAAAUCAGCCAAUGCUCGCUUCUCCUCCGCCACCACCACCAUCCACUUGUUAGCUUUAUCACUGCCUCAUCAAAUGGGGGGAGAGAAUCAUACCCUUUUGAUCCUUUUCCUUUUAUUGCUCCUCUCCAACUUCAAUUUUGCAAAAAGUAGUAAUUCUUCUGAGGUUGCGUUUACCCCUCCUGACAAUUAUCUCAUUGAUUGCGGAUCAUCACAAGAUACCAAGCUUGAUGAUGGCCGAAUCUUCAAAUCUGAUUCUUCCUCAAGGAGUUACCUGGAGACGAACGUAGAGGUAGAAGUUUCGGUGGAUUCUAUUCUUGUCAAUACCACUUCUAAUUCUUCUUCUCCUUCGUCUGCAUCUGCGCUUCUUCUGUAUCGCAGUGCAAGAAUUUUAACUUCUGAUUCGAAAUAUUCUGUUCAUAUAUCUAGUCCUGGUUGGCACUGGGUUCGUCUUUACUUCUAUCCGCUUCCCCACCUGAAAUACAAUCUAACCAGUGCUGUUUUCUCCGUCACAACUGGUGAUGAAUUUGUUCUUUUACAUGAGUUCUCUGUGAGAGAGACUACUUCGGUGGUUUUCAAGGAAUACCUCUUAAAUGUCACUAGCGAAACAUUUUCCCUCAUUUUCAAGACUAACCAACAAUCUUAUGCCUUCAUCAAUGCUAUUGAGAUUGUUUCUGCACCUGAUAGCCUUCUUUCUGAUUCUGCGUCCACAGUUCCCCAAGGAGGAACUUUCAGUGGUUUGUUUAAUUAUGCUUUUGAGGUGUGUUAUCGGUUAAAUGUUGGAGGCCCAAUCAUAACUCCCAAGAAUGAUACGCUGUCAAGAACAUGGCUGCCUGAUACAGAAUAUAACGCAUUUCCACAAGGAGUUCAAAAUGCAUCUGUCUCUCCCAGUGCCAUCAAAUACCCACAGCAUGGUGCCAACACAUAUAUUGCUCCUCGAUUGGUCUAUGCAUCCGCAGACCAGAUGGCAGAUUCUGAUACAGAGUCACAGAAUUUCAAUCUCACUUGGGAGAUGAGUGUUGAUCCUGAAUUUUCCUAUUUGAUCAGAACGCACUUCUGUGACAUUGUGAGCAAGUCCCUUAAUGACAUAUACUUCAAUUUGUAUAUAAAUGGAUUGAUAGGCGUGUCUAGUCUUGAUCUUUCAUCCAUCAACAAUGCCCUCUCCACAGCUUAUUACAUGGAUUUUGUGCUCAACGCCUCAUCCAUCCAGAACGGUACUGUCGCGGUUCAGGUUGGCCCUACGACCACAGUACAGUCUGGGCAGCCUAAUGCUAUUCUUAAUGGAUUAGAGGUCAUCAAGAUAAGCAACAAAUUGGGGAGCUUGGAUGGCUUACUCGGUGCUAAAGGGUCACAAGGAAUGAGCAUAAUGAAGAUUGUUGCAGCUGUUGGGCUUGGAAUGGGGCUAACUGCAAUGGUUCUCCUCGCAAUGGUAUUUAUCCGAUGGCAGAAGAGGCCUAAUGAUUGGCAGAAACGAAAGAGCUUCUCCUCAUGGCUUCUUCCUCUCCAUACUAACCAGUCUACAUUCUUAUCCAGCAAGAGCAGCUCCCGAAGAUCUAGCAUCUUUGGUUCCCGGAAAAGCAAGAGCGGUCACUCUGGUUACUUUAAUAAUCAGGGUCUUGGCCGGUACUUCACUUUCAGUGAAUUACAGAACGCCACACUAAAUUUUGAUGAAAAAACAGUGAUUGGUGUUGGUGGGUUUGGAAAAGUUUAUUUUGGAGAGUUAGAAGAUGGAACUAAGACUGCUAUCAAACGAGGAAACCCGAGUUCUCAGCAGGGUAUAAAUGAGUUCCAGACGGAAAUACAAAUGCUCUCUAAGCUCAGGCAUCGCCACCUUGUAUCACUCAUUGGCUUCUCGGAUGAACGAUCAGAGAUGAUUCUGGUUUACGAGUACAUGGCUAAUGGUCCACUUCGCGACCACCUCUAUGGCUCAAACCAACCUCCUUUGUCAUGGAAACAACGGCUUGAGAUUUGCAUUGGUGCAGCUCGUGGGUUGCAUUAUCUCCAUACAGGUGCUGCACAAGGCAUUAUACACCGUGACGUUAAGACCACGAAUAUUCUUCUUGAUGAGAAUUUCGUAGCAAAAGUAUCUGAUUUUGGCCUUUCCAAAGCUGCGUCAAUGGAACAGGGCUAUGUGAGCACAGCCGUGAAGGGUAGCUUUGGAUAUCUUGAUCCUGAGUACUUCAGGAAGCAACAGCUUACAGAGAAAUCUGAUGUCUACUCUUUUGGGGUAGUUCUGUUUGAGGUAUUAUGCGCAAGGCCCGUCAUAAACCCAGCACUGCCAAGGGAUCAGGUGAAUAUAGCUGAAUGGGCAAUGCAGUGGUAUAGAAAGGGCAUGAUUGACAAGAUAAUUGAUCCUCAAAUUGCUGGGACUAUUAAUCCAGGAUCUCUCAAAAAGUAUGUGGAAGCUGCAGAGAAAUGUUUAGCAGAAUAUGGCGUUGACAGGCCUGGCAUGGGAGAUGUGCUGUGGAACUUGGAGUAUGCUUUGCAGCUUCAGGAAGCUUCCUCUCAGCCUGACAUUUCAGAAGAUAAGAGUACAAAUCUCAUUGCUCUGAAAAAACCAAGUAGAAGGGCCCCUGAAGGCGAAUCUGCCGUUUCAAUUAGUGAUGAUUCUGAAGUAACUUUAGAUUCUCCAAUGUUCUCUGAAUUAGGGAACUUUCAGGGAAGGUAAAUUAAAGAACCUGACGAAUAGCAGCAGCAACGCAUAUGGUGGCGCCAAAAAAAGUUAGAAGCUACCUGAUCCAAAUUGUUCGUUGAAGCUUUUAGCAUGUGCAGUUGUGUUCUGCAGAAUUGAUCCUUUUUUUUUCCAUGUUUUUUCCCCUUUCUUUAUAGAUUUUCCUUUUCUAUAUAAGUGAGUGAUCUGUUUCCUUCUGGUUUAAUGAUUUUAAACAUUGAAAAUGUGAGAAUUGAAUGUCCUCAUUUCAGAAAAGA